GAUGAACGCUGGCGGCGUGCCUAAUACAUGCAAGUCGAGCGAACGGACGAGAAGCUUGCUUCUCUGAUGUUAGCGGCGGACGGGUGAGUAACACGUGGAUAACCUACCUAUAAGACUGGGAUAACUUCGGGAAACCGGAGCUAAUACCGGAUAAUAUUUUGAACCGCAUGGUUCAAAAGUGAAAGACGGUCUUGCUGUCACUUAUAGAUGGAUCCGCGCUGCAUUAGCUAGUUGGUAAGGUAACGGCUUACCAAGGCAACGAUGCAUAGCCGACCUGAGAGGGUGAUCGGCCACCCGGGAACUGAGAAACGGUCCAGACUCCGACGGGAGGCAGCAGUAGGGAAUCUUCCGCAAUGGGCGAAAGCCGGACGGAGCAACGCCGCGUGAGGGAUGAAGGUCUUCGGAUCGUAAAACUCUGUAAUUAGGGAAGAACAUAUGUGUAAGUAACUGUGCACAUCUUGACGGUACCUAAUCAGAAAGCCACGGCUAACUACGUG
rnacentral:rRNA from 1 species